UUUUCUUUUUUUUUUUUCUAAUUUUUAUAAAAAACAAAUUAAGAAAGAAAGGAUAUUAUAACAUGAAGGACAAAAAAAUCCCCUGGUUCUAACCAACAUAUAAAGAUAAGACUACAGAAAUAAUGCCAUCUGAUCAAGUUAAACAACAUUCAAAGCAUUACUCUAAAAACAACUAAAGCACAAGCCAACAGAGAAGACAGAAGAUAAGAAAACCAUCUUUUCAUGGGGAGAUUAAAGGACAAAAUCUGGCAUUUGAAAAUAAGCACAUUGCUCUCCAGUCUCCACCCAAGUACUGCAUCAUACAAGAAAAGGAAAUAACCCAUAAUACAGAAUAAAAAACACAAUCAUGAAGAAUUUAGCAUAUUUCUUCCAGGAAAGCCCUUCCAAUUUAAACCAACAAAAGCUUCUAACGACUUUGUACAUGCACAGUUGACUGUUCUCCCCAAAAAGAAAAAACGCCAGUUUCACAAUGGCUAAAGUGGAGUGAAUAGGCUAGGAGUAAAUACACAUAUCACCUCAUAAUACAAUAUGACCAAAGUGAUAAGCUCCAUAAAAUUCCACCUUAAAGUUAUUGCACUCCACUAAACAAAAACUUUUUACUUUCAAAAUGAUUCCCACCAUUAUGGACUUCAUUAAAAUGGAAUAUUAUGUAAAUUCAUUUUCAAAAAACUCACAUCAGUCUCCAGAAAAAAAUAACAGUUGGACACUUCUAAAAAAGCGUGCAUUAAUAUGAUUGGCAUAAGUACAAAGAAGAUGAGAUCAACAUAUCUAGAGUUAAUAUGAUUCAAAUGAUGGGUUAUCAUGUGGACCACUACAUCAUAAAUAGGCGGAAGCAAAAUUUAGCAUUCUGCCUUCUAUUUUCUUUUUUACGCUAUAUCCGCAGGCAAUUAAUCUCUGAACCAAAUGUCAAAAGGAUGCCUAUAUUGAGUAAAACAUUAAAACAAUCAAGAAGCUGACAAACAUAUUUAUUUGGAUUCUGGAGAAUAUUGAUGUUACAAACUUACAAUAGAAUUUAAAAUGAGGAAAAUUGUAAAAUUUUUCAGCACCAUGGGCUAUAAGCAACAAACAUUAUUACCAUUAUACAUUUUUUCUUAUCUUCUUUUUUUUUUUUUUUUUUCUUCGCUCCUCUUUUUCUACUGAUGCCUAAACAGCUGCUUGGAACUUGGAAGUUGACUAGUUGAUGCAGCAUUCUACUUGUAAAGAUAAUUGUUCUUAAGGAGUGAAAAGCCUUAUAUGACGUUCCCAUCGAUUGGCUUUCACUUUAUGUAUUAUAUGCUUCCCAUAUGGAUAACCCAUGAAAGUUGAGAUAAGUAUAGCUUUAGAGGACAGUAUUUAUCAGUCAAUGUGAAUGACUAAGGAACAUUAAAAAAGGGAAUGAUUAAAGGCAUGCCCUGUGCUAACACGGGGGUUGGGGCCUUGGUGGGCUAUCAUUAUGUUGUUGGAG
rnacentral:misc_RNA from 1 species